AUUACGUAUGGAAUAUUCUCUAUGCCUUGGUCUGCAGGUGCAUGCAAUGCGAAACAAAAUCAUUAAAGUCAGUCAGAAGAGGUACAUGGUCACCUGUUGCUGCAUUAGAGAGCAGCAUCAAAAGGAGCAAGCGAGAACACCAGAAGUUGACCUGGGUCCCCAGCACAGCUAUGGAACAACUGAGAGAUUGGAACCACAUGAAGUGAGGGAAACCCAGGCCAACAGGGCACGGGGGAGGAUAAGAAGAAGACAGCAAAAGAGUUUCACAAACCAGGCCAGAGAUGCAGGUGAGGCGGAGACGAGACGCAAAAGUGUUGCCGGUACACUUGGACCUCAACUUACAAACACAAAUGGGAGCGGACCUCUGAUCAUAACUUGAAUUGUUUGUAAGUCCUUAAGUGCGCUUUGCUGCCAACUAAUGGCAGUGAAUGGUGUCAGAUGUCAAGCUAUCAGUCCAAUGGUAAUAACGGUAAAUGGCUUUGGAGAAAACUGCCUAAAUGGAAAAAAUAAAUAUUAGCAACCUGCUCAUCACUUUUCCAUUUGUAGGAUUUUCACAGUCAGAUUUUUUUUCCAUCUUUGCUUUUUCCUCCGCUCACGCCAGAAUUAACCUGUUAUCCUUGCAUAAGCAGAAUGGUUCCGUAUACUGCAUAUUCCAGAGCGCUAAUAGACAACGGCUUUCUCACUUUGGGUACUAUGAUCAAAACAUAACUCUGACCCUCAUAUUCAUAUCCCUUUGGCUGAGAGUCAUGGAAUUUCUGGAUGGUGCUUAUUUUGCCGGAGAGGGGAGGACAUUCCACUGUGUCCUCUGGGGCGCAGUUCAGCCCCACCGUUGCCGUGCAGAUGUGGCAUUAACAUUCCACGUGUGUUUUUUAACAGCCGUACUUGGUGGCCGGGGACACGCUGCAGAGAUAGACAAUGUUGGAGAAGAGCCCCUGAGAAUGAACACACCAUCCCCUCCAAGCAGCAGGCCAGCUACUCUGCUGCUGCAACCAAAGUCCCAAGUAAUAACCGCCACGCCCACACCUCCGAGCCGACACGGAACACCUGGGACGCAACGCAGACCGGGGCAUAAAAGGCUGCGUCAGACCAGCAGCUGAUGCAGAACCUUGUUCAGCCUCCUCAUUAGCGACCUUCUAGCCAUUUCCUGUUCCCGAACGCCUUCCCCGAUCCCGUCCCUUGUUCCCACGAUCCUGUGCCUCUUUAUGAUCAUCGACCUCUUGCCUGUGUACCGACCUCGCCUUUUGGAUUCUCCCUGUUACGACGUUCGCACCUCGAAGACCAAUCGCCCGUUCUCUGACCUCCUCUCUUGGUUUUCCCCGAAGACACCACGUAUACCGCUCUGCACUUGAGUUCGCCGCUUCCUUCCAGAGCCAGUCAUGACAAUAACUCUGGUUUAAUUUUGUUUCAAAAUAAAAUUUUGACCUAAAAUCGCA
rnacentral:lncRNA from 1 species